GUAAAAUCAAACUAAGAGAAGUACUUGAGUCUUUUUUGGUUACAGAAAGUCGGCGGUGAUGAGAGUCCGAUACCAAGAAAUCAAGGAAAUGGCCUUAGCCGAUCAUUUUUUGAACCCUUUUUUGGCAGUAGGAAAAUGCGGGAACUCCCGUUAUAGAGGAAGACCGUUGUUAGACGGUUGAUAGAGAAGAAGUUGUUUUUUUAGGCAACUUUCAAUUGAGGUGGUACCGCGGUCAUUCGCCCUCAAG
rnacentral:ncRNA from 1 species